ACCCAGAUUGAAUCGCGCACGGAUGGCCCAGAUUGCAUCGCGAUGAAUGGUCUAGAUUCAUUUCCUAUUUAAUCGCGAUCGGAUGGUCCAGAUUGAAUCACGAUAGAUUGCUCAGAUUAAAAGCGGAUGGUUAUAAAUAAUAUCAUCCGCACCCAAACCCUAACCCUAGCCGCUAGAGCCCCUUGCCGGAGAAGACAGUCCAGCCGCCGGGGAGCCGACUGCCACCACCCGCCACCGCACCAAAGCAAUUUACGGCCGC
rnacentral:lncRNA from 1 species